UGCUUUUGUCACCUGCCGGUGCUCAAGAGGCUCUCAGCUGAAAGUCAAGGCCAGCUGAAACUCUGAUGCAUGUCUCUGUCCUAUUUCCUGGGAAUCAGUUAUAUUAUCUCCUAUCGAAAUCCUUUUGUUUGCCUUCUGGAUCAACUAAUCCUGAAAGUCCCAAAGGAAAACUAAAGAGAGAACAAAAACUGCAGGAAAGUGAGAAACUUGCCAACUUAGAUUUUUUUCCCUAAACAUUCACUCUGCAUUGGCCUGGGGAAAAGGAUUAGUCACGAACAU
rnacentral:lncRNA from 1 species